GAGUCAUUCGUUAAUUUCCCCAGCUGCUUCUGGGGUAACGUGAACGGCCGGAGAUCAUGGUCCUCAGUGAUUUAGGAGCAGGAAGAUGCAGACAUUCUAGUUGAAGAGGAGCAGUGUGAAAUAUUAGAUGAAAGGCAGCGACUGGGGUCUUUGGCGAUCGGCCGCAAGUUGGCUGGUGUGCCAAGGCUGGAGUCUGGCGGUCGACAGCAUCACGG